CGGACAUCCUCCGCGUGGACAGAGAGGAGCCACUUGGCAGUUGGUACAGGUGGCAUCGGAGGUGGAGGCGUGAUGGGCCGUGUGGUGGUGCCCUGGAACCGGUCGCACGCAGACAGGAACAUUGCAAAGCGCUAAAUGGCUGUGAGGGAAAGUGGACGCGCCGGACUCCGGAUUGUGGUGAUCUUUGAAUCGCGCCGCUGCCGUUCAAGCUAAGAUCUGGCAAAAAGUAAACAAUCACAGAUGAGAUCCAUCAUUCUGCUGGGAGAUCCGGCAUACUCAUUACGGCCAUGGCUCGUGAAGGGUUACCCUGAUACAGGAAACCUAAAUGAAGACCAGCGCGACUUCAACCAGAGGAUAAGCAGGGCUAGAAUGACAGAUGUGCAUUUGGUCAAUUGAAAGGUAGAUGGAGAUGUCUAGCCAAACGUCUUGAUCUUGACAUAGCUUUGGUCCCCACUGUUAUUGUUACUCUGCAUAACAUAUGUGAGAAGCACAAUGAAACGUGGUGAGGAUGCUGACGCAGUGGCUGCUGUGGACACUCAACCAUUGACACUACACAGCGCUGAACAUGGCCUCAGGACAGGAGGUCUGCUGGCGAGGAACUGGGUGAACAUGCUCAUCAUAAGUAACUCGUGGACAUGCUGUAUUUUGAGCUGAAGCUCUGUGUCGUCUGUCUGCGUGAGAGAACUGCCAAUCUUCUGAGUAAACAGCUCCAUUGUGGAUUCCACCUCGUUUUUCCAUUUCCUCCGUGUUGUAGAUGGACCUGUAAAAAACAUGUUUAUGUUUGGAGGAAACUGUUUAUGACAGCAACUACAUUUCUUUAUAGGUUACUUUUGUACUUUUUCCAUUUAACUACUGAAAAUAAUUUAUAAACUGGACACACAAUGACUGGUAAAACAUAAUCAAACCCUGCCCGUUUCGCCCUCCUGCUGGCGUGCACCAGGUGUUCUUUGAUGGAUGAGGUAGGCCUGUUGUCUCCUGAAGGGGUUGAGUGACUGAAUGAGGUCUCAGGAGAGUCAUGAGGAUCAUCUGGAUAAAAACAAAUCCAUUCUUGACAUAUAAAAGUAACAACUAGAACAUCAGAGAAUCGUGCUAUUUAAUAGGUCAGUUUUGGAUGUGUAAUAAAUGAAUAAAGCAAAUUCAAUUUUGGAUGUAUAAUAUGUGUAAAACCUUUUGGAUGGACAUAUUCUAUUCUAGCCUAGCCUAUAGGUACAGACGGGGGUGUAGCCAUCAUUUCAGAAGUGAGGGGGACAGAAAUGUUUGGUGUAAUACCAGUUUUUAUCUGACAUUUGUCUAAUUGGCAGAUUUUAUAUUUUCAUCUCUUGUUUUUAAUUCUAAAACAAUUUUCUUUUAAUAAGAAAUCAAAUACUCUGCUGAAUAAUAAUAACCAAUAACUGUAAUUUUUUCCCCCUAUAUUUUAUGUCUAUAUAUUACAUAUCAUGUUUAUGAUUGGUUUAUGUACUACAAACACUUGUGCAUUAAGCUCUCAUGGAUUUUACAAUGUAAAAAAAAAAAAAGAUCACAGAAUAAGGCAGAAAAUAUACAGUACCUACCAAAAGUUUAGAAAAACAUUACAAUUGUUUAAUGUUUUGGAAAAAAGUGUCUUCUCACCAAGGCUGGAUUUAUUUAAUUAAAAAUGCAGUUUAAAACAAUAAUAUUGUGAAUAAAAAGUAAAUAUUAUUACAAUUUAAAAUAGCUGUUUUGUAAAUUGUAGUUUGUAUUCUAAAAUGUUCAAUAUAUGUAUACGAAUUAUCAGCAUCAUUACUCCAGUCUUCACUGUCACAUGAUCCUU